AUGAUGGUUAGUUGUAAAUACUCAAAAUUUUGUGAAGCCUUGAAGUGCAAGGAGCUCUUUGAUCGGAGACAGGCAAUGGGAGGUCUCUGUUUAUCAAAUGCUGGAGUGCAGUGUUGUUGCCUUUUCUCUGUUUUACAUGGCCGCUCAAAAUAUCAGAUUGGUUACAGAUAUGGCCUUUUGCAGGGAGCUGCUGCUCGGGGAUUCCUCAGAAUCCUUCAUCAUAUCUUCCGAGCCUUGAAGUGCUAUGGAGCUCUUCGAUUGGAGGCGGACGAUGGGAGGUCCCUGUUUGUUGAGUUCUGGAGUGAAAUGUUGUUGCUUUUUCUCUGUAACAUUUGUUCUUCUAUUGUGUUCUUGUGGAGUUCAGGUGAGUAUUUCACCUGGGCUGCCUACAAAAACGGCGUCAGAAGCUCAUUAGUUUUUGGAUUGAUUGAAUAA
rnacentral:rRNA from 1 species